GCGUGAGUGAUGAAGGCCUUAGGGUUGUAAAGCUCUUUCGCCGGGGAAGAUAAUGACGGUACCCGGAGAAGAAGCCCCGGCUAACUCCGUGCCAGCAGCCGCGGUAAGACGGAGGGGGCUAGCGUUGUUCGGAAUUACUGGGCGUAAAGCGCACGUAGGCGGCGGUGCAAGUUGGGGGUGAAAUCCCGGGGCUCAACCCUGGAAUUGCCUCCAAAACUGUGCUGCUUGAGUUCGGAAGAGGAGAGUGGAAUUCCCAGUGUAGAGGUGAAAUUCGU
rnacentral:rRNA from 1 species